AUUGAACGCUGGCGGCAGGCCUAACACAUGCAAGUCGAGCGAGCGGCGGACGGGUGAGUAAUGUAUGGGGACUGCCCGAUAGAGGGGGAUAACUACUGGAAACGGUGGCUAAUACCGCAUACUAUCGGAUAACCCAUAUGGGAGUAGCUAGUAGGUUGGGUAAAGGCUCACCUAGGCGACGAUCUCUAGCUGGUCUGAGAGGAUGAUCAGCCACACUUGGACUGAUACCCGGCCCAGCCUCCGACGGAGGCAUCAGUGGUGAAUAUUGCACAAUGGGCGCAAGCCUUAUUCAGCCAUGUCGCGUGUCUGAAGAAGGCCUUAGGGUUGUAAAGCACUUUAAGUUGGGAGGCGUUACCAACCGAAUAAGCACCGGCUAACUUCGUGCCAGCAGCCGCGGUAAUAC
rnacentral:rRNA from 1 species